GACGAACGCUGGCGGCGUGCUUAACACAUGCAAGUCGAACGGAAAGGCCCUGCUUUUGUGGGGUGCUCGAGUGGCGAACGGGUGCGUAACACGUGAGUAACCUGCCCUUGACUUUAGGAUAACUUCAGGAAACUGGGGCUAAUACCGGAUAGGAGCUCCUGCUGCAUGGUGGGGGUUGGAAAGUUUCGGCGGUUGGGGAUGGACUCGCGGCUUAUCAGCUUGUUGGUGGGGUAGUGGCUUACCAAGGCUUUGACGGGUAGUCGGCCUGAGAGGGUGACCGGCCACAUGGGGACUGAGAGACGGCCCAGACUCCUACGGGAGGCAGCAGUGGGGAAUAUUGCACAAUGGGCGGAAGCCUGAUGCAGCAACGCCGCGUGCGGGAUGACGGCCUUCGGGUAGUAAACCGCUUUCGCCUGUGACGAAGCGUGAGUGACGGUAAUGGGUAAAGAAGCACCGGCUAACUACGUG
rnacentral:rRNA from 1 species